ensembl:lncRNA novel transcript
CAUAAGCAAGAAUAUGAAACCUUUCAUUUGACAAUAGAAGUUAAAACAUUUUGUGUUCCCAUAGUAAAUAUUGUGAUUGGGAAGAACUAUUUGACUCCUUGAGAAGAUUAUAGAGUUUUUCAAUUCGACUGUUUCCUUGAGAAUAAGGAAAGAAAUUCAUUAUUACAACUGAAAAUGAAUGAAUGAAGAUCCAGGGUAAAUGUAUUCUGGAAAUAAUAUUUCAUGGAAGAUACUCCCCCUUUAUUCUAAGCACUGCCAAAAAUGAUUUGAUGCUGAAUGUAACAUUCAGGGCAAAAUAAUAAGAUCAAAAGGGGUGUAUUAUAGUUAUAUUAAGCUAGUCUGAUCCUUUGAAAUCUGUGUAAAAGGCCUGACAAAGCAGUAAUUUUUACAUAUGGAAAUGUAUUUAUAAUAAAAGCAUACGGAUAAUAAA